CUAGACAGUCAAUACAGAACUUUUGUAUGUUUUCUCCUUCGUGUGGGCACCUCAGACUCUGAGGAUGCUGUUCAUUUGUGCUCAGACUGACCUGUUAACCUGCAUCAAGUGAUGUGUGUUUGUCACUUACAAUUGUGUUCAGUUAAAACAGUGCUGUGUGAAGACGAAGCAGCAGUUUCCUUAUUACAAAAAGGUGAUAAGAGCAUGCUGCUUGCUAUUUUCAUCUCAUGCACAUGGUAAUGACCACAAAAGUAAACAUGUCAGUUAAAGCAUGUUACAAGAUGUACAACUUUUACUAAGUGUAGAUGUUGUAAGAUAUAAAGCAGGUGAUACUUUGUAUUUGUUGGAUUCUUGUGGAUCCAGCUCCAAGAGUGAUCUGAACACAUGACUGUAGACCUGAUGUUUGAAGAUCUGACAUAUUUUCUUUCUGUAUUCUACUCUGUUUCACCUUCAGAGUGUCUUAAUAUAAAAGCAGUCAUGUCUUGCACUUCCUUCUUUCAGAAGAGAAGCUCAGUUCGUAGCUCUGUGAGAGUUUGAGGUUAGCUAGAGAACAGGUCAAAGACGUGUGUCAGUUUCUCCUCUUCAGUACAAUAAAGUCUUCACUGUCAGCAGCACUUAAACUGUUGCUCAGACCUCUUGACCAGCAUGGCUGUUUGGAAACUGUGGUUUGUUCUGCUUCUGCUGCUACCUGCAUAUAACAACAGCCAAGUGACUAUUGUGAAAACCACUGGGAGAGAACCAUAUGUCACUCCGAUAUGCACCAAUGAAACACUGAAUAUCAUCACACUUAUAAUAUUUUAACACCAGUGGAUAGUGGGAACUACAGCUGUGAGUGUGUAUAUCCUGGAGUAACAAAUACUCUCCAUCUUCAUAUCACUGUGGAAGGUAAACACAUGUUAUGUAUUUUUCCUCAUACUUUGAUUAAAUUUAUAGUGAUUAUUUUCCAUUGUGUUGUAUUGUUAACAUGGUAGUAUGAUGUCUAUACUUCAGGUUUACAGGUCAAAUCAAAGCAUGCAGUAAUUAUAACAGGAAUAUAGUAUUUCAAACAGCAUUAGUGCUGACAGUAAUGUCCUACAUCAUUUUUGGUCUUGGCUGUGGUAAUUUAUUAGCUUUGAUUUGCAGAUUUAAAUAAUAAAAUAUUACAGAAGCAUCUUAUGUUUUUUGUUUUACAAUUUGAGUAAAUUCCAGUGUCACUGUAGAGGAUGAAGAGGCCACAAGUUCCACAAAAAUAUCAAUUGCCAGUGCUGCUGUUGGUGUGACUGUAUUCAUCAUUAUAACUGGAGUUAUCCUGGGAUUUAUCCACAGAAGAAACAUCACAGGUGAGAGACUGUAAUAUUCAUAUUUCAUAUUUUCAAUAUGUUAUUAUUUUUUGCUUCAUGACUUAAAAGUAUCAGAUGCUCUUAAACAACAUGAUUAUGUCGACUGUGGUUCAUUUACAUGCAGUUUUUUCAACACUUGUUCUCAUUUUGUAAGUCAAGUAUAUCAUUUAAAAAGUAAUUAUCUUUAAUGAUAUCACCUGUCAUACAUGUUUAUCUCAUUUUGAAUUAAGUUCAUUGCAGUCACAUAUAACAAGAUCUUGACUUUCAGGUUCAAAUGAAACAAUGAAGGAAGACGUGAUGUUUCGUUUCCUGUCUCGUCUAGUAAAACAGACCACAAAAAGCAAAAUGUAUUAUUUAUUAAUAUAAACUGUAGUGUUACUGCAUUGAUUGUUGUUACUGGAAUUGUCCUUGGAUUCAUCCUCAGAAAAAUUCAUUGCCCAUGAAAAUUUCUGACUAAAGUGUUUUCAAACCUUGUAAAACAAUGCAGUCAGUGGUUUUCUUGGAGAGCACAGAAGAGCUGGUGUGUGUGUGUGUGUGUGUGUGUGUUUGGUGUGUCACUAACUCUGA